UUAAAUAGCCGCAAUUUUAUGUGCUAAGGUAGCAUAAUCACUUGCCUUUUAAUUAAAGGCUAGAAUGAAAGGUUUUACAUUUUAAAUUCUGUAAUCUUACAAUUAUUUGAAAUUUUUAUAUAAAUAAAAACAUUUAUUUAAUUAGGGGGACGACAAGACCCUGCUGAACUUUACAUAUUGUUCUUCUGGGGUGGAAAAUAAACCAAAUCUUUUUUCCUCUUCUCAAAACAACAAAAACCUUUAACUUUAAACAAGUUACCACAGGGAUAACAGCACAAUUUUUUCUUAAAGAUCGUAUUAAAGAAAAAGUUUAUGACCUCGAUGUUGAAUUAUUUAUCUUUUAUUUUGAAGCAAAUAUCUAAAAAGAAAGUCUGUUCGACCUUUAAAUUUUUACAUGAUCUGAGUUCAAACCGG
rnacentral:rRNA from 1 species